rnacentral:lncRNA from 1 species
GCCAGCAUUUGCUGAGCCAGCACCGUGCGGCUGGCCGAGCCCUCGAUGAUUCUCCACGAUUUCCUCGCUGAUUCUCUUCGCCUCCCUGUAGGCACGGGCAUCAUCUCCAUCUUACAGGUGGCUCUGGGAUGUGGCACAGAGAAGCCGAGGUGCCUCCUGGGGCGGUUGUUUAUCGAGCCCUCAUGAUGUGCCAGGCACCGCCUGGACGCCACAGCAAACUCUCUGCCCUCAAGGGGCCCACAUUCCCAGAUGAGACAGGAGCCGGGCAUUAACCCAACCGAGACGGCAUGGAAGUUUCCCAACUUGGUGCUGCGACAUCAUCUGGAGUCGGCAGGAUGCAGAAUUAGGGUCUGGGAACCACAGCCAAAGGGGAAGAUGCGGGUGAGCAGACCUGGCUCUCUGUGCCAGGAUGGACAAGGGGAACCAGCCAGAGCACUGGCCUCACCGUGGCCACCAACCGCGGUCACCGAUUCUGCACAGUACCGGAACUUGAUUGGUCCAGCAAGUAUCGGCCGUGCACCUGUUGGGCGCCAAGCUGGUCGCCAGGGCCCCGGGAGGGAACAGCCUGCCUGCGCGGCCUCCCUGCCUGGCCUUGCUCUCUCCCAUGGCCUCCCAUCACCCUGGCUGCCUUCUGGAGCUGUAGAUGCUGUGUCCUGCAGGCCUGCCGUCUUCUGGAUCUUUUCCUUCCUGUCACCUGCCCUUCAGAGCUGACCCUAUUUCCUCCGCUUCUGGGAAUCCUUCUGUCUCCUUCUGCUCAGGAGAGUCUCCUUCCUCUGGGUACCAAUAGGCUUGAGUUUCUGGACUACCACAUCCAAAACUAAGCUCCCCCCCCCCAAACCUGCUCCUCCUCUUGGGUCUCGUCUCAGUGGGGCCCCUCCAGCCAAGCAGCCCCUUGAGCCAGACCUGGCCUCCUCCCUUGCCUCCUCUCUCAGCUCAUCCCCCAUCAACAGUCCAUCCAUCACCAAGUCCUGCCGGUUCUGCCUCCUCAGCAUCUCUCAGACCUGUCCACUCCCCUCCGUCCCCACUGCCACCGAGCUGAUCCAGGCCACCCUCAUCUCAGCUCCUGGCUGGUCUCUCAGCCCCUAACCUGCCCUCUAUUCUCCCCUUGGCAGCGGGGCGUCCUUCCACUGUGCACUCGCUCCAGGUGGCAGAAGUCCCCAUGGCUCCCGGCUGCCUCGGGUGCAGGGGAAGUCAGCUGUCAGUCUAACCGGGGUUCCCCUGAAAGUGAAUCUGGGAUAUUCUCCCUCCUUUGGUUUCUGCAGAUGGAUUGAGGCAUGGAUUCUUUGUAUUUAUUUUUCUGGGGACGCUGGGUAUCCUGAAUCUAUGAUUUGGUAUCUUUUAUCAGUUCUGGAAAAUUAUCAGCCACCAUCUCUUAAACAUGGUGUCUACCUGUUUUUCUCUCUUCUAGGGCUCUAAUUAAACUUGCUCUUUUCUACCCUCUCCUUUUCCCCAUCUUUGUGUCUCUCUGCAAUGCAUUCUGGAUAUUUUCUUUUGACUUAUUUUCUUUUGACCUAAUUCUUUCUUUGGCUGUAUUUACUCCAUUCUUAGACUCAUCCAUCGAGUGUUUUUAACGCUUUAUUAUUUUGGAAUGUAACACACAUGCAUGAAAUGCAUAAAUUGUAAAUAUACAGCUUUGCAGAAGAGUGAAAAACAAAUGUACAGUUUAAUAAAUGAUUAGAAACCAAACAUGUAUGGGACUAUUACUGACAGGUCAAGAAGUAAAGUCUCUGAGUUUUUUCUUUUAAAGAUUGACACCUGAGCUAACAUC